rnacentral:rRNA from 1 species
CAGCAGCCGCGGGAAUACGUAGGGUGCAAGCGUUAAUCGGAAUUACUGGGCGUAAAGCGUGCGCAGGCGGUUCUAUAAGACAGAUGUGAAAUCCCCGGGCUCAACCUGGGAACUGCAUUUGUGAUUGUAGAGCUGGAGUGCGGCAGAGGGGGAUGGAAUUCCGCGUGUAGCAGUGAAAUGCGUAGAUAUGCGGAGGAACACCGAUGGCGAAGGCAAUCCCCUGGGCCUGCACUGACGCUCAUGCACGAAAGCGUGGGGAGCAAACAGGAUUAGAUACCCGCGUAGUCCCUGUCUCUUAUAC